AAACUCCUGAUCGGGCCAGUCCUUAGACCAACUCUGCAGAGGCAUAGGUUCCCAUGAAGGGUAGUUUUCUGAGCUCCGAACUUUGAUCAUCUUUAAAGAAAGGGCAGGGGAAACCUGUAAUAGAACGGAGUGGAGUUCAACCCUGAGGCACCAUCUCUCCAGGGCACAGUCAGACUCUGAUUUAACCUGGUAAUGAAG
rnacentral:lncRNA from 1 species